CUGUGAAUUACAGGGCGGUUUCUCCUUUGGCACGUACGGAGGCAUGCAUUCGUCAAAUGCAGAUGAAUCUCCAGCUAGCCAUGCGUGCCAAAGGAGAAUUGCCCUGCAAUUCACCA
rfam:Leersia perrieri chromosome 5, whole genome shotgun sequence.